AUUGAACGCUGGCGGCAGGCCUAACACAUGCAAGUCGAGCGGAGCGGCGGACGGGUGAUUAAUGCCUAGGAAUCUGCCUGGUAGUGGUGGAUAACGUCCGGAAACGGGCGCUAAUACCGCAUACUAUCAGAUUAUCCUCGGUCGUUUUCGCUAGUUGGGGGGGUAAAGGACUACCAAGGCGACGAUCCGUAACUGGUCUGAGAGGAUGAUCAGUCACACUGGAACUGAGACACGGGCCAGACUCCUACGGGAGGCAGAAGUGGGGAAGAUUGGACAAUGGGCGAAAGCCUGAUCCAGCCAUGCCGCGUGUGUGAAGAAGGUCUUCGGAUUGUAAAGCACUUUAAGUUGGGAGGCGUUACCAACAGAAUAAGCACCGGCUAACUUCGUGCCAGCAGCCGCGGUAAUAC
rnacentral:rRNA from 1 species